GAUUCCGUAGUGUAACGGUUAUCACAUCUGCCUAACACGCAGAAUGCCCCCGGUUCGAGCCCGGGCGGAAUCA
rnacentral:tRNA from 1 species